rnacentral:rRNA from 1 species
GUAAAGAGCUCGUAGGCGGUUUGUCGCGUCUGCUGUGAAAGCCCGGGGCUCAACCCCGGGUCUGCAGUGGGUACGGGCAGACUAGAGUGCAGUAGGGGAGACUGGAAUUCCUGGUGUAGCGGUGAAAUGCGCAGAUAUCAGGAGGAACACCGAUGGCGAAGGCAGGUCUCUGGGCUGUUACUGACGCUGAGGAGCGAAAGCAUGGGGAGCGAACAGGAUUAGAUACCCUGGUAGUCCAUGCCGUAAACGUUGGGCACUAGGUGUGGGGGACAUUCCACGUUCUCCGCGCCGUAGCUAACGCAUUAAGUGCCCCGCCUGGGGAGUACGGCCGCAAGGCUAAAACUCAAAGGAAUUGACGGGGGCCCGCACAAGCGGCGGAGCAUGCGGAUUAAUUCGAUGCAACGCGAAGAACCUUACCAAGGCUUGACAUUCACCGGACCGCUCCAGAGAUGGGGUUUCCCUUCGGGGUCGGUGGACAGGUGGUGCAUGGUUGUCGUCAGCUCGUGUCGUGAGAUGUUGGGUUAAGUCCCGCAACGAGCGCAACCCUCGUUCUAUGUUGCCAGCACGUGAUGGUGGGGACUCAUAGGAGACUGCCGGGGUCAACUCGGAGGAAGGUGGGGAUGACGUCAAAUCAUCAUGCCCCUUAUGUCUUGGGCUUCACGCAUGCUACAAUGGCCGGUACAAAGGGUUGCGAUACUGUGAGGUGGAGCUAAUCCCAAAAAGCCGGUCUCAGUUCGGAUUGAGGUCUGCAACUCGACCUCAUGAAGUCGGAGUCGCUAGUAAUCGCAGAUCAGCAACGCUGCGGUGAAUACGUUCCCGGGCCUUGUACACACCGCCCGUCAAGUCACGAAAGUUGGUAACACCCGAAGCCGGUGGCCUAACCCCUUGUGGGAGGGAGCCGUCGAAGGGG